GACGAACGCUGGCGGCGCGCUUAACACAUGCAAGUCGAGCGAGAACCGGGGCUUCGGCCCCGGGGACAGCGGCGAACGGGUGAGUAACACGUGAGUAACCUGCCCUCGGCACCGGAAUAGCCCGGGGAAACUCGGAUUAAUGCCGGAUAGCCCCUCUGCCCUGCGGGGCGGCGGGAAAAGGUAGCUUCGGCCUCUGGCCGAGGAUGGGCUCGCGGCGGAUUAGCUUGUUGGCGGGGUAACGGCCCACCAAGGCGACGAUCCGUAGCUGGUCUGAGAGGACGAUCAGCCACACUGGGACGAAGACACGGCCCAGACUCCUACGGGAGGCAGCAGUGGGGAAUCUUGCGCAAUGGGCGAAAGCCUGACGCAGCGACGCCGCGUGCGGGAAGAAGGCCUUCGGGUUGUAAACCGCUUUCAGGAGGGACGAAGCCACUCGGGUGAACAGCCCAGAGGGUGACGGUACCUCCAGAAGAAGCCCCGGCUAACUACGUGCCAGCCGCCGCCGUAAUAC
rnacentral:rRNA from 1 species